CGAGGUGGAGCAAAUCCCAAAAAUAACGUCUCAGUUCGGAUUGUAGUCUACAACUCGACUACAUGAAGCUGGAAUCGCUAGUAAUCGCGAAUCAGAAUGUCGCGGUGAAUACGUUCCCGGGUCUUGUACACACCGCCCGUCACACCAUGGGAGUCAGCAACGCCCGAAGCCGGUGACCCAACCGAAAGGAGGGAGCCGUCGAAGGUGGGGCCGAUAACUGGGGUGAAGUCGUAACAAGGUAUC
rnacentral:rRNA from 1 species